CAACUUUCAGCAASGGAUCUCUUGGCUCUCGCAUCGAAUGAAGAACGCAGCGAAAUGCGAUAAGUAAUGUKAAUUGCAGAAUUCAGUGAUAUCAUCGAAUCUUUGAACGCACCUUGCGCCCCUUGGUUAUUCCKUGGAGCAUGCCUGUUUGAGUAUCAUGA
rnacentral:rRNA from 1 species